rnacentral:rRNA from 1 species
GAUGAACGCUGGCGGCGUGCUUAACACAUGCAAGUCGAACGGUGAACGAGGAGCUUGCUCCUCUGGAUCAGUGGCGAACGGGUGAGUAACACGUGAGCAAUCUGCCCCGAACUCUGGGAUAAGCGUUGGAAACGACGUCUAAUACCGGAUACGACCUCCGAAGGCAUCUUCUGGAAGUGGAAAGAAUUUCGGUUCGGGAUGAGCUCGCGGCCUAUCAGCUAGUUGGUGAGGUAAUGGCCCACCAAGGCGACGACGGGUAGCCGGCCUGAGAGGGUGACCGGCCACACUGGGACUGAGACACGGCCCAGACUCCUACGGGAGGCAGCAGUGGGGAAUAUUGCACAAUGGGCGCAAGCCUGAUGCAGCAACGCCGCGUGAGGGACGACGGCCUUCGGGUUGUAAACCUCUUUUAGUAGGGAAGAAGCGAAAGUGACGGUACCUGCAGAAAAAGCACCGGCUAACUACGUGCCAGCAGCCGCAGUAAAAC